rnacentral:rRNA from 1 species
UUGUGGUUAAAAAGCUCGUAGUUGGAUCUCAACAGCCUUGGAAGCGGUUAACUUUGUAGUUUUACUGCUUUAUAGGCUGUGCUUUUGCUGGAGGUUUAGGGGUGCUCUUGAUCGAGUGUCUCUGGAUGCCAGCAGGUUUACUUUGAAAAAAUUAGAGUGCUCAAAGCAGGCUAAAAUGCCUGAAUAUUCGUGCAUGGAAUAAUAGAAUAGGAUGUCGAUCCUAUUUUGUUGGUUUUCGGGACUCGACAUAAUGAUAAAUAGGGACAGUCGGGGGCAUUUGUAUUCAAACGACAGAGGUGAAAUUCUUGGACCGUUUGAAGACAAACUACUGCGAAAGCUUUUGCCAAGAAUGU